UGAGUAACGCGUGAGAAUCUGCCUUCAGGUUCGGGACAACCACUGGAAACGGUGGCUAAUACCGGAUGUGCCUUACAGUAAAAGAUUUAUCGCCUGAAGAUGAGCUCGCGUCUGAUUAGCUAGUUGGUAAGGUAAAGGCUUACCAAGGCGACGAUCAGUAGCUGGUCUGAGAGGAUGACCAGCCACACUGGGACUGAGACACGGCCCAGACUCCUACGGGAGGCAGCAGGGGGGAAU
rnacentral:rRNA from 1 species